rnacentral:rRNA from 1 species
GCCGAUGACCAAACCAUCUGGAAACAUGCCCAGCCUCAUCAGAUCUCAGAAACGAGGGCAGAGCUGAACCCGGAUAGUGCUUGGAUGGGUGAUCACCGUGCAUAAACAGGUGUUUGUAGGCU